AGGAAGAGGCCAGGAGAGAAGUCGAAGAAGGAACAAAGCUUGGAGUGGAAAAUCUGAUGGAGAAUUCAAGUGUCAGGGUCAUCUGACCAGCAUCCUGACUCCACUGGCUCACAGUGUGAGGCUGUGGAGGCUGCUGCUCUUCUCGGAACCUUUCUCUUGGGUCCUGAGACACUGGUUAGCACAAGCUGCACACAGUACUCAGCAGGGUUCCUGCUCGCUCUCGAAAGCCAUACUAUACUGCUGAAGAAAGUCGAGGCAGAAUCCUGGAGCCAGGAGUUGAUGCAGAGACCAUAGAAGAUUGCUGCUUACUGGCUUGCUCCCAGUGGCUUGUUCAGCCUGCUUUCCUAAAGAUCCCUGGAUCACCAGCUAAGGGUGGCCACACCCACAAUGACCUGGACCCCUCCUACAUCAAUCAAUAAUUAAGAAAAUGUCUUUCAGGCUUCCCCUUUCUCAUUGGAGGGAUUUUCUCAGUUGAGAUUCCCUCUUUCAGAUAACUCUACCUUGUGUAAAGUUGACGUAGGACUAGCCAGGCAAAGAGGGCUAAGAGCACCAUCUACUAUCUCAGGUGGUAUCCAGAUACCUGAAAUAUAACUGUACCAACAUACCUGGACAGGGCUUCUAAUACAGGCAAGUAAGCAAGAGUCUUCAAGUGUUGGAUGGAAGAAUUCUUUGGUGUGUCUCAGCAUGUGUGUGUGUGUGUGUGUGUGUGUAUGUGCGUGUGCAUGUGCGUGUGCAUGUGCGUGUGUGUACAUCCUUCUCAAGCAAGGUUAGCACAUAGUUUGUCAGGCUCUGUUCUUAAAAGCCCUAUAGUUAUACAUAAAUCAAAAGAUAUUUUGACUGGCUUAGGGAACUCAGUCAUUAAUAGCAAAAAUAGAUAAAAGAAUGUUAAAAAUUGUAUGUAUGUAUGUGUAUUUUUAUCUGUUUAAAAAGUCUUCUAGAAAAAGCAAUCAAAAACUAUUAGGAGAAUAAAAAUAAAACAAAACAAAAAACAACAUGAAAAUUUCCUAACUACCACUUGUCUGGGAGGCAACAGAAAUUUUCUGCCAUAGCGGGGCUGUAGCAGUCAGGUCUACAGCAAAUAUUAGAACAAAUGUAUAUAAUGUCAAGGGGUAUAAUAGAUAAGAAAAUAAAACAAAUAAUCUACUUGC